rnacentral:rRNA from 1 species
CGGGUGCACUGAUCCGGCCGGGCCUUUCCCUCUGUGGAACCCCAUGGCCUUCACUGGCUGUGCGGGGGAAACAGGACUUUUACUGUGAAAAAAUUAGAGUGCUCCAGGCAGGCCUAUGCUCGAAUACAUUAGCAUGGAAUAAUAGAAUAGGACGCGUGGUUCUAUUUGGUUGGUUUCUAGGACCGCCGUAAUGAUUAAUAGGGACAGUCGGGGGCAUCAGUAUUCAAUUGUCAGAGGUGAAAUUCUUGGAUCUAUUGAAGACUAACUACUGCGAAAGCAUUUGCCAAGGAUGUUUUCAUUGAUAAGGAACGAAAGUUAGGGGAUCGAAGACGAUCAGAUACCGUCGUAGUCUUAACUAUAAACUAUGCCGACUAGGGAUCGGACGAUGUUAUUUCUUGACGCGUUCGGCACCUUUCGAGAAAUCAAAGUGCUUGGGCUCCAGGGGGAGUAUGGUCGCAAGGCUGAAACUUAAAGAAAUUGACGGAAGGGCACCACCAGGGGUGGAACCUGCGGCUUAAUUUGACUCAACACGGGGAAACUCACCAGGUCCAGACACAGUGAGGAUUGACAGAUUGAGAGCUCUUUCUUGAUUCUGUGGGUGGUGGUGCAUGGCCGUUCUUAGUUGGUGGAGUGAUUUGUCUGCUUAAUUGCGAUAACGAACGAGACCUUAACCUGCUAAAUAGCCCGUACUGCUCUGGCAGUUCGCCGGCUUCUUAGAGGGACUAUCGG